rnacentral:lncRNA from 1 species
GCAGCCAGCAGGCCUCAGACCUACAGCCUCCUUCACUGCCCAAGUGUCCAGCCCUGUGCCAGGAACACAGAGCAACAGAAUGGCCAAGGUUGGAGGGGAUCUUAAAAAUCUAGUUCCAAUCCUCUGCUGUUGGAUCAGGCAGCUCAGGGCCUCACCUAAACUGGCCUUGAGCACCUCCAGGAUGGGGCAUCCAUAGCUUCUCUGGGAAUGGUUGGGAUGGCUGGGCCCAGUGCUGGAAGCUUUCACCGCAUUGAUAGCAACAAAGGUGUCAAUCAGUCUUGAUUUAAGAUCACUGCGCAGUUUUGCUCAAAGUGUUUCUUCAGUGCUAUCCCUUAAACAAUCAUGAGUUGUAGAGAAGAUCUUUAUCGGGGUAUCAAUCAUGGCAGACUCUAGUAUUCAUUUUGAGGAAGCACCGUGGUGUACAGUGCAGAGCCCAUUGACAAGAACAGAUGUCCAUCAGCCUCCAAGAGGUCUCAGUGAAGACCAAAUCUAAAAGAUUUUGGCUACCAGCUCCUCCGGAUGUUUGCAAAGCCCCAGGCCGUGUAGGGGGAGCAAGUCAGGAAGGGCUGACAUUUGGGUGUCCUCAGGGUCAUCCUUCCCCCUCCCUGCACUAUAGACCUCCAACCUGCAUACUAUAAGCAGUGCAACAAGGAAAACCUGCUCAGUUUUUCAGCCUAACUAUCCUGUCAAAACGUCUUAUCAGUUUCCUCUCUGCUGGGCAUGUGAAGCUCAUUCGGCCCUCAAAGCCUGCAUACAGAAAGCUGCUCUCCUCUCCCUGUGCCCUGACCCUGCCUAUGUAAGGAGAUACCAAUUCAGAAAACAAGAUGGAUCAUAUUUCUCAUUUCUAUGCAUUCUCCUUCGACUACAGCUUUUACAACUACUUCAGUUCCACAGUGGGACGGGGCACCAGACCGAGUGGGAGAUAGGCAGAAGCCGAGAGAGAAAUUGUAUCUACAGUGUCCCAGAGCCUCAGAGGCAGAACCACUGGGCUCCAUUCACCUUCAUAAGAGUCUGUGACCUGAAGGCUGAGCUCAAGGAAGCUCCCUGCUAAGCCUCUGCCAGCUUCCCCUUGCUCUGCCUGCUGACCUCUGCUCGCCCCGAACGUCCCCUAAAAUGGAGCGAUCCACACAAGAACUUUUCCUCAACUUCAUGAUUGUCCUCAUCACUGUGCUGCUCAUGUGGCUCCUGGUGAAGUCCUAUCAGGAGUAAAGGACGGUCAGAAACUCUCAGAGCUGGUCUGGAUCUCUGUGGGCAGACACCAGUAACACCACUGCACAUCUCUGUUACGAGCUUUCGGUCAAUUUGGAAUGCCGUGAUCUUUUUUACUCUCUAGUCUCUGUUGCCUGUGUUCAUGUUUGUAAUGGGUCUGUGAUGGUGUAAUUAUUUUAUUCUGCACUGAUCCAGCUGUAAAAUGCAAGAUCCUUAGGAAAUGUUCUAUUUGGCUGUAAGUGCUGUGCCCCUCUGCCCAUGUGCCCUCUUCUUUGGUGUCAGGGCAGGGUAUAACCUCUGCAGCAUGUAGUGGGUCUGUCUGUCAGCCAGCUUAAAAGGUACAGACUUGCUUAGCAGAAAGAAAUGUGAAACCCUUGCUUUCGCUUGAUCUUGUUUCACCUCAAUAAAGAACAUGUAAAACUGUUUUUUGUAGCUUUUCUGACUGCUGUUCACUGGAAGAUCGACUGAUAGCUGCAGCAUGGUGCGUCACACAACUCUGGUGGUUUGGUUGCCUCUCUCCCCUGGAUUUUUAUUUGCCCUUUAUAAAAAAUUGCUGUAUAGUGACAAUUAUGAUCCUGCAGGUUAGCUGAUGCUCAGCCACACAGGAUGAGCUGAUUCCAGCAACUUUUAUGUCCAGUGUGACUUACCCCACCUGUGCUGUGAAGGUGGACUUCAAAGAGAACGUCUAUCUCAUAGAUAAUUGCAUUUUCUGAAGCUGGAUUUUGAAUGAGGAUUCCCAGAGUCCUAUUUAGGACUGAGAUGUGCUUGUUGGAACUGUGCCUGUGGAGAGGAGCUGAUGCUGUGCUGCAAAGGAGUGGAACUAGAUGAUAUUUAAGGUCCCUUCCAACUCAGGCCAUUCUGUGAUUCUAUGAACUUUGUAGGUCUCUUCUAUCUGGACUACUCUACUCUACUCCACUCUACUCUAUGCUAUUCUUUCUAAAAAGCACAGCUUUCCACAAGAAGGCAGCAGUAGCGGUGCCAUGCUGCUGACACAGACCUCUUUGCUCUGCAGGAUCCUGUAUGGGGUGGAAAAAACUUCGGGGCUGUGUUUAGAGCUACUGAAGUCUGCAUCCUGGGGUUUUUAGGUGGAGCUGUAACUGCCGGGACAGCGUUAAGGAAAGAGAGAAAAUGGUGUGUGAUAGCACUGUUUGUUACAUGUGUCUGAUGCUUAGAGACUGCUGGGAACAGCCCCAUUGUUCUGGGUUGUUUUGUCUACCGUGGUGUCUUCCCACCCCUCCAGGAAACACUCGUGCUGUUGCAAUGAGAAAUUUCAACUGUUGUUUACUC